GGAUGAUGAAAGAAAGGAAGCCCGAAGUUUUAGAGCUGGAUCAGGCCCAGUUUCCAGUCUUCUCUCCUAUGAGAAUGCCUGAGGCCAUUUGUUAGUGAGGUCGUGCUGUUCUUCCUGACCACGACUCAUACUUUGUUGUCACUCCGUCCUUGCCCUGAAAUCACUUAGGCCGGUCGGUAAAGGACGGUUGUACCUGGAUUCCUGCAGGUGGGAUUGGUUUGCUUUCAGCUUCUCUGUGUGUCCUACGGGGUCCCGUCCAUCUGCUGAGGACAGUUGCAGCCCAGCACAGCCCCUGACGCUGACAGGAGAUUGUCCCCACAGCAGAACCUUGGCGGGAGACUCAAGGCACAGGCCUGCAGAUCCAGCCCAGCCCUGAGAACUAUCCCCCAGGAGUUUGGGGAAGGAUGGAAGACUGGCCCCCGCCAGCAUUCAAACUACACCCUGGAGAGAGAACCUGUCCCAGUGCUCCUCACUGCCACCCCGCAGUCCCUCCUUCCCUCCCAGGCAGAAAUGCAGGAGCGUGCAGCUGUGUUGACAGAGCUUUCCCAACACCAACAAACUGCCAGGUGGAAGAUGUGAAGGAAAAACCCCAGAACCCCACAAAGAUUCUUCCUGCUGGGGAAAGAAAACGAGACCCAUGGACCUGAGGUUCCCAUGCAGAGUCCUGGCUGGCCUCAGUGGAGCAGGAAAGAGCAGACACACCACCAGGAGAGGGGCAUCUGGCCAGUCCUCAGGGCCUGAGCUGGCCCCACCAAUCCCUAUCCCAGGGGUACCUGCACUGCUGGGAGCCAGCCAGCUGCCUAGGGUUGCCAGGCACCCCCUUCCCGCUAACAGAGGAUCAUGUCAGGUAAGAGUCAGCUACCUACUUACCUGGAGGCAAGCCCGGGCCUAUGGGGCGGAGAACCAGCAGAUUCUGCCAGGUGUGCUCAGAGGCCUGUCCCCUCAGGGAUUCCCCUCAUCAUGGCCCUGGUCGCCUGCCCAGAGGCCUGCCAGCUCCUGCACUUACCCAAGAGAGCCCUGAACCCAGGUGUUCUUUUUGGUGGUGAUGGAGAAGUGGGAAGUCAGGGGCGGAGGUGGCAUUAAUAUCUCUUGAUUUUUCAAUGCUGACAGUUGAGGUUGGCUGAAAAAUGGCCCCCAAAAGAGAUUAGGUACUAAUCCUCAGAGCCUGUGAAUGUGACCUUAUGUGGAAAAGGGGUGUCUGUGAUGUAGUCAAGUUAAGGACUUUGAGAUGAGUCCGUCCUGACUUGCCUGGCUAGGCCCUAAAUCUAUAGCAAGUGUCUUUACGAGAGGGAGGCCAAGGGAGAUUAGACAGAGAAGCCCACGUGAAGACAGAUGCAGAGACUGGGGUGAUGCUGCCGCCAGAAGCUGGAAGAGGCAGGAAGGAUCCUCCUCUGGAGGGAGCCUGGCCUUGCCCGCACCUGGAUUUCUUGCUAGUCUCGGACUCCUGGCCUCUGGAUCUGUGAGAGAAUAAAUCUGUUGUUGAAAGCCA
rnacentral:lncRNA from 1 species